rnacentral:rRNA from 1 species
UACGUAGGGUGCAAGCGUUAUCCGGAAUUACUGGGCGUAAAGGGUGCGUAGGCGGUUGUUUAAGUCUGUCGUGAAAUCCCCGGGCUCAACCUGGGAAUGGCGAUGGAUACUGGGCAGCUAGAGUGUGUCAGAGGAUGGUGGAAUUCCCGGUGUAGCGGUGAAAUGCGUAGAGAUCGGGAGGAACAUCAGUGGCGAAGGCGGCCAUCUGGGACAACACUGACGCUGAAGCACGAAAGCGUGGGGAGCAAACAGG